UUCUUUCUUGUCACUUUCUCUAUUGCCGAUUUCAAUACAUGAUCUAAGCAAGAAAUUACAGAUUUUAUACUUUCUUGUUAGCCGCUAAGAGAAGGUUUCUAAGGGCUGGUUGUGUUCUAUUUUCGUGGUCCAUAAGAGAAGAAAAGUUCAUCUCAAAUCAAGAGCAAAAGGUGCAAGAUUGUCAAGAACACCUUUCUUCAAUCUUGACCGGUUUCAAGAGCGAUUCAAGAAAUUAUUUGUGGAUCUUUCUUUUUGUUUUCCAACACAUUCUUGCUAACACAAAAGAAGUGCUUGUGGCUGUCAUCUAUUCCAAAAGAUUGUCCUUGAUCGGUUUUGGAAGUUUCAAGAUUCGACGUGCGUGUGUGGACCAAUUAGAGGCCGGGCGCGUUCUAAUCUCUGAAAAAUCCAGUUCGUUGAGUUCGUGAGCAAGGAACGCAAGAGUUUUGUCAUAUUUCUCAUGAAUUUGACCGUUGUCAGACUUAUUGGUCUAAAGUCUUGAUUUCCCCUACUGUUAAGGUGUUAUUUGUAGGUAUUUAAACCAUGUCUUUUGGGUUGAUUGCUAUUGUUUCUCUUCCUUUUGAAGUUAUGCGGAUUUGUCUUAUUUUUGUUUAUGUUGAGCUACUUGUUCUGCCUAUGGGUCACCCCAUCUUUAUUUCUUCUCCAUAGAGUUCUGUUAUAGUUAUCGCGAAUCAAACUAAGCUAUUAUAAAAUAACUGCCCUAUAAAUAUUUUAUGUUAAAUUACUUAUUAAGCACUA